rnacentral:rRNA from 1 species
GAUGAACGCUGGCGGCGUGCCUAAUACAUGCAAGUCGAGCGAACAGACGAGGAGCUUGCUCCUCUGACGUUAGCGGCGGACGGGUGAGUAACACGUGGAUAACCUACCUAUAAGACUGGGAUAACUUCGGGAAACCGGAGCUAAUACCGGAUAAUAUAUUGAACCGCAUGGUUCAAUAGUGAAAGACGGUUUUGCUGUCACUUAUAGAUGGAUCCGCGCCGCAUUAGCUAGUUGGUAAGGUAACGGCUUACCAAGGCGACGAUGCGUAGCCGACCUGAGAGGGUGGUCGGCCACACUGGAACUGAGACACGGUCCAGACUCCUACGGGAGGCAGCAGUAGGGAAUCCUCCGCAAUGGGCGAAAGCCUGACGGAGCAACGCCGCGUGAGUGAUGAAGGUCUUCGGAUCGUAAAACUAUGUUAUUAGGGAAGAACAAAUGUGUAAGUAACUAUGCACGUCUUGACGGUACCUAAUCAGAAAGCCACGGCUAACUACGUG